GGAGAGGUCGCAUAGUGGCCUAGUGCGCUCGUUUGCUAAAUGAGUGAGGGUAUCCCCCUCCGCGAGUUCGAAUCUCGCCCUCUCCG
rnacentral:tRNA from 1 species